UAUUUAUUAAUUAAAAAAAUUUAACUUAUUUAUGGACGUCCUACUCUCUGCUAGUAUGUACAUUACAUGGUUAAUAAAAUUAAAAUAAUGAAUAUAUUGAAUAUAUCAAUAGCAUGACCCAUAAAUGUACGUUAUUGUGAGUUUCAAUGGAGCCUACAAUAAUUAAUCGCAUUGGACUACGAUAAAUGAAAAUUGAAAAGGGGAUCGACGUCCUAAAUUGUGGGUAUGCGGGUUGCCAAAUGCAAUGCAAGUAAAAUAUUGGUUCACGUAAUUUUCUUUUUAAAAAAUAUAUAAAUUGAUGAAAAAUUUUGAAGAACAUCUACAGAAUGAAGAGCAUUCAACAUAUGGAUGCGGAAGAAAUUUUCAUAAUAAUAAUUUUAUGUUCAUAUCCCAGUCCUCGAAUCAGAAAAGAACGCAUGCACAAGAUCACACGCUUGGACUAUCUGUCUUGCUCUCACGUAAAGGAUGCGGGAAAAUAUUAUUAGAUCCUGAAGAUCCUCAUUAAGAAAGUGGAAUAAAAUUAUCAAAUUAUUGGAUUGUCAUCGGUCCUCGAUAAGUAUAUAAAGUUUAAAUGAAAUCCGACCUUUCAAAGGGUCAAAAUCGCAUCCAAAAGAGUCUGUUACAGACAAACAUACAUACAGGUGAAGCUAAUAAAAGCGUGGUUAAAACGGACUGUACCUAAAGUGUUAAGGUUCAACGUAGUAAUAUAAAUGUAAUUAAGGCAAGUAUUCAUAAUUAUAUAUAUAUAUAUAUAUAUAUAU